ensembl:lncRNA
CCCAUGGUGGUGAAUUCUGUUUCUUUCCCUUCCUAAGGCUGGGACAUGGUGGGCGUCAGGGACUUUCUGCUAAGCCUGAUGAAAUGUGCUCCUUCAAUCUCCAUGAAACCAUCGUAACAUGGAGGCCUCAGCUGCUUGAGGAGAGAAAUCAGACUUUGUUUUUUGAAAUCAAUUGGGAUUGAAAGCCUGAAAUAAAUAUUCAUACUUUACAUAGAACUGAGCACUUGGUUGCUAUUUAUUUUAAAGGCAGGGUUAUUUUUCCCCCCAGGGAGUGGGACAAGUGGGGAAGUUGGGAUGAGUGUGUGUGGGUGGAUUUAGUGAUGGGAACAAAGAGUUAAAAGUCACUAUGCUAAGUUUGGUUGAUACUACUGGGGGGAAAAAAUUGAAACUACUGGUGACCACUGUUGGGAGAGGAAACAGCAUGGCCUUCCCAUCAAAAAUACACUCUUACCAUGACGUUUUGGUUUUUUCAAGUAGCCACUUUAAAUUACUCAGUAUUAAUCCUAGGUGCAUGUGUUAAGAUUUCGGUUUUCAUCGAGCUGCUUAUACUGAUAGUGAGAAACUUGGAUGUGUGUGAGACGAGUUACCGCUUUCUUCAUUGGAUGUGAUCUGGACUUUUUUUCCCCUUUCAACAUACCUAGGCUGUGGAGUGCAAGCAGAAUUGUGCAUAGAAAUUGUGGCAGGGCUGAGAGAGUUGACUGCAGGCAGGUUUUAGGCCAGAUAAGGCUAGAUCUUCCUGCGAUGCACUCGCUGCAGCUUUUGAUUUUCCAGAUCUCAAUCAUGUUGCUUCAAUCAAUAUUGAGAUCCAGCAGCCUUCACCAUCCAGGGACUUCAGAACUUGAAGGUAAUUUUUGGUUGUUAUGGGGGCGCACCAGAUCAUAAGAGGGCAUUAUUUGGAGGAAACAGCUAUAAUGUAAAAUCAGAUUACAGAAGGCAAAUGCAGCAAGGACUGACUAUAGUCCUAUUUCAGACCCCUGGGCACUAGUGUCAGCUCCUCCUUUGGCUCGUAACUCAGAACCAAAGGGCAGAUUAGGGACAGGGGCAGGAGGGAUCCUAGGAUGGCCAGAGUAGGUGACACUUCCUUAGCUCCUCCUUCGUUCUGAUCUCAGGGUUUUCACUCUUCAAACUCCCAAACACAUGACUUCUUCCCAGCAGCCCUUCCCGGCCUCUAAAAGUUUAGUCUGGCAUGAAAUGGGACUGUUUAACAAACUAAGGCUCUUAGGGGACACCGUUGAGCCUGGUCCCAGCAUCUCUGUGAUCUCCACAGGGCCAGGGUUGCUAUUUGCACCCAGAAUCUAGUGACUUCAGUCAGAUCCAUGGAACAGAGCAGCUUUGAAAUACAUUGUCAAGUUGCCUGAUCACAAACUCUCAUAGAAAGAUGUUGGAACUACCUUUUUACUCCCCAUACUUUUUAAGUAAUGCUUCCAGAUUAACCUGCAAAUCUUCUGGAGCCAGAGCCUCUCACAGUGCUCUGGUUUACCUCCCCCAAAACCCCCAUGCAAGUUUACAGCCAGUAGCUUGGUCUUAUUCUCUUGGAGCCCUAAAAUUAAGCCUUUCAUUCCCCUUACUGCGAAAGCUUCUCACUCCCAGGGCAGCCCCGGCACCCUGGCAUUGCGGAAGGUGCUCUGCUGCACAGCUCUGUUCCGUCAGGCCCUAUUGGCCUCUGUUACACACUGACUCAGGGAGCCAGAGCGCCAAGUGGAGGUUGUACCUUUCAGUCCUUUGGGGUGUUAACUGUCAAGGGCUGGGUUUGCCUCUGAUGAGUACAAUCAGUUCCAGAAGACUGGGUAAGUCUCUUGCUAGCAGGUGGACAUUCUGGUAUUUUAGACUGACUGAACGAAACUCAGAGGCUGGUUCCAGAGCUCUGUCCCUGAGAACACAUCCCUAUGGAAAAUACUUGAGUUUGUAAUUUUUUUUUUUCUUCUGGGAGUAGAGGUCUCAGGCUCAAUCCGGAACCAUGUAUGUACAGUUGUGCUUAUUAUUUGGUGUGACAUGAACUAAAAAUCUUGCAUUUUUAGAUUCCUUUUAAUUCUAAUUGAGGCCUCACUGGAUGCUCUUCAGUUCUGUGUAUUUUGAGGCUGGGUGGAGAAAGUAUAUGAUUCCGCUGUUGCUUCUUUCAGUCUUCCCCCCUUCUCCUUUUAUCAUUCCAGAGUUCUUUUCUAUUAGUCAGACUUUUUUGUAGAAACCUUCUUUCACUUGCCCUGGCAAACUGCUUCUUUACUUGCUGGUUUCCUUACGUUUGGGGCACAUAUUCUAAGAAACCGAUCGGAAGGGGAAAUGUGCAGCUCUCCACUGAAAAUGAACUCUCCACCCCUCCCAUCCUGAUAAACAAGGUUUACAUUUACAACUAAAAGGAUUCAGAGAUGCAAUUUUCAACUAUUCUGAAACCAGCAGGACACACCUGACUUUAAUAGUUUUAGCUGAAAUUGUAGAUGUUUUUCUUCAGUUUAACUUAUGAGAAAAGAUUAUCUGAUGCAUUUUGUGUUGACUUCCCCUUUAGUGGUUUAUUUUGUCUUUUUCUGCCCAUCUGUCUACUAAUAAAAUGUGAAAUAAAA